rnacentral:rRNA from 1 species
CGCCUCUUGCAAAAUUAAUGAAUAAGAGGUCUCGCCUGCCCUGUGACUAUAUGUUUAACGGCCGCGGUAUUCUGACCGUGCGAAGGUAGCGUAAUCACUUGUCUUUUAAAUGGAGACCUGUAUGAAUGGCAUAACGAGGGCUUAACUGUCUCCUCUUUCAAGUCAAUGAAAUUGAUCUUCCCGUGCAGAAGCGGGAAUAAGUACAUAAGACGAGAAGACCCUAUGGAGCUUUAGAUAAUAAGGCAGACCAUGUUAAACACCCUCCUACAAGAGACUAAACUAAGUGUCACCUGCCCGAAUGUCUUUGGUUGGGGCGACCGCGAGGAAAUAAAAAACCCCCGUGUAGAAAGAGAGCACCACUACUCUCCAAACCAAGAGCUCCCGCUCUAAUAAACAGAACAUCUGACUUAUAAGAUCCGGCAAUGCCGAUCAACGGACCGAGUUACCCUAGGGAUAACAGCGCAAUCCCCUUCUAGAGCCCAUAUCGACAAGGGGGCUUACGACCUCGAUGUUGGAUCAGGACAUCCUAAUGGUGCAGCCGCUAUUAAGGGUUCGUUUGUUCAACGAUUAAAGUCCU